GUUAAGUCAAUUAGGAUCGAUAUACUUUGUAUAUCCACUAGGUGGCAGUAAUGCAAAAACAGUUGUAAUGAAACCGCGAAGAACAACAAGGUUUCACGGCUUGGGCCUGCUCAUGCGCAAGACUUCAAAUUUAACUUAAAAACGUUGUUUUGGCGCCAAGCUGCUGUUUCUUUGAGAGAUCCUGCCUUUACCUGCUCCCUCCUAUACUGAUGUGGUGUAUGUGGUACUGCUGAGCUUGUAUGUGAUCUGAACCAUUGUAAAGAUUGCAGUUCAAGGGCCUGAGGUGGAAGCAGAAUUUGUGAGGAUUACUACUGCUCCACUUGUUCCAAGGCUUUUUGCACAACUUGACCAAUACACUGACCAGCUCAUAAAACUCUUCAAGAAAAAAGGAGGCGCUGCAGUGAAGAAAAUUAGACAAAUUUUGGCCCCAUCCACACAGGAAACUAUUGAAAAGGGGAGGGAGUGUGUCCUCAGGGCACUACCUUUCUACCUGAAUGAAGACCCAAGCAUCCUCUUCAAAGAAUAAUUGCUACAGCUACAGCUGUUCAGAGG